rnacentral:rRNA from 1 species
AGAGUUUGAUCCUGGCUCAGGAUGAACGCUGGCGGCGUGCUUAACACAUGCAAGUCGAACGAGCCUUCGGGCUAGUGGCGGACGGGUGAGUAACGCGUGGGAAUCUGCCCUCAGGAGGGGGAUAACGGCCGGAAACGGCCGCUAAUACCCCAUAUGCCGAGAGGUGAAAUGAAUUUCGCCUGAGGAUGAGCCCGCGUCUGAUUAGCUAGUUGGUGGGGUAAUGGCCCACCAAGGCGACGAUCAGUAGCUGGUCUGAGAGGAUGAUCAGCCACACUGGGACUGAGGCACGGCCCAGACUCCUACGGGAGGCAGCAGUGGGGAAUUUUCCGCAAUGGGCGAAAGCCUGACGGAGCAACGCCGCGUGAGGGAUGAAGGCCUCUGGGCUGUAAACCUCUUUUCUCAAGGAAGAAGACAUGACGGUACUUGAGGAAUAAGCCACGGCUAAUUCCGUGCCAGCAGCCGCGGUAAUACGGGAGUGGCAAGCGUUAUCCGGAAUUAUUGGGCGUAAAGCGCCCGCAGGCGGCCUUGUAAGUCUGUCGUUAAAGCGUGGAGCUUAACUCCAUUUCAGCGAUGGAAACUACAAGGCUUGAGUGUGGUAGGGGCAGAGGGAAUUCCCGGUGUAGCGGUGAAAUGCGUAGAUAUCGGGAAGAACACCAGUGGCGAAGGCGCUCUGCUGGGCCAUAACUGACGCUCAUGGACGAAAGCCAGGGGAGCGAAAGGGAUUAGAUACCCCUGUAGUCCUGGCCGUAGACGAUGAACACUAGGUGUCGGGGGAAUCGACCCCCUCGGUGUCGUAGCUAACGCGUUAAGUGUUCCGCCUGGGGAGUACGCACGCAAGUGUGAAACUCAAAGGAAUUGACGGGGGCCCGCACAAGCGGUGGAGUAUGUGGUUUAAUUCGAUGCAACGCGAAGAACCUUACCAGGGUUUGACAUCCUGCGAAUCCCUUGGAAACGAGGGAGUGCCUUCGGGAGCGCAGAGACAGGUGGUGCAUGGCUGUCGUCAGCUCGUGUCGUGAGAUGUUGGGUUAAGUCCCGCAACGAGCGCAACCCACGUCUUUAGUUGCCAGCAUUCAGUUGGGCACUCUAGAGAGACCGCCGGUGAUAAACCGGAGGAAGGUGUGGAUGACGUCAAGUCAUCAUGCCCCUUACAUCCUGGGCUACACACGUACUACAAUGCUACGGACAAAGGGUUGCAAGCUCGCGAGAGUUAGCUAAUCCCAUAAACCGUGGCUCAGUUCAGAUCGUAGGCUGCAACUCGCCUACGUGAAGGAGGAAUCGCUAGUAAUCGCAGGUCAGCAUACUGCGGUGAAUACGUUCCCGGGCCUUGUACACACCGCCCGUCACACCAUGGAAGUUGGCCAUGCCCGAAGUCGUUACUCCAACCCUUGUGGAGGAGGACGCCGAAGGUGGGGCUGAUGACUGGGGGUGAAGUCGUAACAAGGUAGCCGUACCGGAAGGUGCGGCUGGAUCACCUCCUAACAGGGAGACACAACUGAUCGUGAUGUCUGAGCGCCGACCAAGCGUAAGUUUGGGAAGCACCUUUGUCUCAGGCCACGGUCCUGUCAUCUCGAAGGUCGAUCGGUACCUCAAGGUGAGCCAUCAAAGCCAAGGUAGAAGCCAGAGAGCUCGAGAGAGCAGGAUGGAGGAAGCCAAGGAUGUUGUGAUGGACUCGUUUUCAGUUCCUAAACUUUGUCUAGGUCACCCCACCAAGGGUUUUGCCAGACAUCCAGUGUUUCGGAUCCCGCCAGGGAGAGGAAGCCAUGGGUGAUUGGAGGAACCACUGUCAGAGUGAUUGUUCCUGGGCCAUUAGCUCAGGUGGUUAGAGCGCACCCCUGAUAAGGGUGAGGUCCCUGGUUCAAGUCCAGGAUGGCCCAUUCGUGUUUGGGGGUUUAGCUCAGUUGGUAGAGCGCCUGCUUUGCAAGCAGGAUGUCAGCGGUUCGAGUCCGCUAACCUCCAUCCAGCUAGGUUAAGACCACAACAUGAAGCUGCAUCAGGAGGAAUUCUGAUGGGUGAAGUGACCGGACAUGUUCAGCUGAGGACUCCAGCCUCCUUUCAUUCCCAAAGAAUGGAUUCAUUGUAUUAGAUGAGUUUCAUUUUGUGAUGGUUGAAAGGAAGCUGGACUCCCUGAUCACCAUUUUGCUUGCUCAUGAGAUCAUGUUCAAGUGAAAUGAUGCAUCGGUGUAGCCAGCAAAGAACCUUGACAACUGCAUAGGUGAGUCUGGAAAAGAAAGCAUCUCAUGGAUGCCCAGACGGACGUGGAGGGAUCCUGGUAAACCCCGGGUGAAGACUGCGGCUGACUGGGAGAUUCUUGAGUUUAGAGCCGAGAGCUUCCAGCGUCUUUUCGCUCCGCCGAGGAGGGAAGAGUCAGAUUCUGCGUUUCAAACCGCUUGCGUUUGAAGGGGACGAGAGACCGCGACGGGCAACCGCAGCGGUGGAUGGUUUCAUGAAAAGCGAAAGCAGGUGAAAGCAGGAGAAUGGGUCUCAACAACCCUGAACGUUGGAAGUGUUAAUUGGUCAAGCUACAAAGGGCUCACGGUGGAUACCUAGGCACACAGAGGCGAAGA